UUGAUAGAAAAUCAAUACAUCAAGAACUCCACCAUAACUCUGACACCAUUAAAUGAUCUAUUAGGUAUUUUUGGAACACUGAUCGGGGCUGUAUCUGACACUGUUGGGGAUAUUCUUGGUGAUAGUGUUGAUUUAGCUAUAGAGGUUGGAGACAGUGAACAGUUUAAAAAUGUAUCCAGGAGUUUGAACAGUUUGGUUCAGGAUACAGCCGGACUUGUAGGAAAGGGUGUUCAGAUGAAACAAAUAUGAUAUUUAGUAGUUUGAACAGUUUGGUUCAGGAUACAGCCAGACUAGUAGGAAAAAUUGUUCAGAUGAAACAAAUAUGAUAUUUAGGAGUUUGAACAGUUUGGU